rnacentral:lncRNA from 1 species
CCAUUUUGAAAGUUUCAAAUUCAAAAGUCUCAUCUAUACAUGCCAGUUUACAAUAAUAUUAAGUUUCAUUAAGUUUGGAGCAUUUUGAAAAUAUUUGACAUUUUUGCAGUUUCCAUGGCAACGGUGGCCAUUUUGGAAAUUCCAACUUCAAAAGUCUCAUCCAGACUUGCCAGUCUACAAUCAUAUUAAGUUUCAUCAAAUUUGGAGCAUUUUGAAAUUUUUGAAAUUUUUGACAUUUGUGAUGGUUCCUAUGGCAACAGAGACCAUUCCUAAAAUUUAAUGGCAUAUACCACAUUGGUACAUGAAAAGGACCAUACCAUCAAAGUUUCGAUCCAUUUGACCUACC